ensembl:lncRNA
CCUGGCCUCCGCAGGCAGUGCACACCAUUUCUCCAGAGACAGGGAAACUGAUGUCCAGAGAAUAUCAGGAAACUGAAGCUUCCCAGGCCCCAACUCCUCUGCUUCUUGACACCAGAAUCCACCAUCCACCAUGGAGACAGACAACCAAGAACAUCUACCUGCAGAUUCCCUUAUCUCACCACCUCCCUGCCUGCAAGCAGCCUCACCAGGCUAAAUGCUUUCCCUCACAAGGGAAAGUGCAAAUGCAAGGUCACAGGGUCCGCCUCCCUACAAGCAGAAAAGGUUUACAACACUUUACCCACUUCUUCAUGGGGAGCCAGCAGUUCUUAAGGUGCUAGCCUGCUGCAUGAUCCUUUUGCCUGGC